GAUGAACGCUGGCGGCGUGCCUAAUACAUGCAAGUCGAGCGAAUGGAUUAAGAGCUUGCUCUUAUGAAGUUAGCGGCGGACGGGUGAGUAACACGUGGGUAACCUGCCCAUAAGACUGGGAUAACUCCGGGAAACCGGGGCUAAUACCGGAUAAAAUUUUGAACCGCAUGGUUCGAAAUUGAACGGCGGCCUCGGCUGUCACUUAUGGAUGGACACGCGUCGCAUUAGCUAGUUGGUGAGGUAACGGCUCACCAAGGCAACGAUGCGUAGCCGACCUGAGAGGGUGAUCGGCCACACUGGGACUGAGACACGGCCCAGACUCCUACGGGAGGCAGCAGUAGGGAAUCUUCCGCAAUGGACGAAAGUCUGACGGAGCAACGCCGCGUGAGUGAUGAAGGCUUUCGGGUCGUAAAACUCUGUUGUUAGGGAAGAACAAGUGCUAGUUGAAUAAGCUGGCACCUUGACGGUACCUAACCAGAAAGCCACGGCUAACUACGUGCCAGCCGCCGCAGUAA
rnacentral:rRNA from 1 species